rnacentral:pre_miRNA from 1 species
AUGUUGUAAAUACUGACAGUUUUUACAAAAAAAUCUGGUCAAACAUAGAGAAGUUUGACUUAGGACAAAACUAGAACUUCAAUUAUUUUGGAACGGAUGGAGUAUUCACCAACAUAAUGACACCCUUCCGCACUCCUUAAUAUGGCCUUGAAGUCUAAAC